UGUUGUAAAGGACAAUGUGGCCGUGAUGUCGGUCAUCCCAUUGGUUGCUCAGGGUGGCCCUGAUGUCCUCCUUACAGCUCUCUGUGCGUACCCUGAAGCUACUUGCUGGGUUGAAGGCCUCUUUAGAGGACAAGCAGUGUUUGGUUAAGGACGUACACUUAACUCCAAACAUGCUUGCAAGGCCCAUUUGUAGGAGAACGUGGUAGUCAAGCCCGAGCGAGGCCCCACACAUGGCAGGCUGCCUUUCUUU
rnacentral:snRNA from 1 species